rnacentral:rRNA from 1 species
AUUGAACGCUGGCGGCAGGCCUAACACAUGCAAGUCGAGCGGAUGAAGGGAGCUUGCUCCUGGAUUCAGCGGCGGACGGGUGAGUAAUGCCUAGGAAUCUGCCUGAUAGUGGGGGAUAACGUCCGGAAACGGGCGCUAAUACCGCAUACGUCCUGAGGGAGAAAGUGGGGGAUCUUCGGACCUCACGCUAUCAGAUGAGCCUAGGUCGGAUUAGCUAGUUGGUGGGGUAAAGGCCUACCAAGGCGACGAUCCGUAACUGGUCUGAGAGGAUGAUCAGUCACACUGGAACUGAGACACGGUCCAGACUCCUACGGGAGGCAGCAGUGGGGAAUAUUGGACAAUGGGCGAAAGCCUGAUCCAGCCAUGCCGCGUGUGUGAAGAAGGUCUUCGGAUUGUAAAGCACUUUAAGUUGGGAGGAAGGGCAGUAAGUUAAUACCUUGCUGUUUUAACGUUACCAACAGAAUAAGCACCGGCUAACUUCGUG